rnacentral:rRNA from 1 species
CCUACGGGAGGCAGCAGUGAGGAAUAUUGGUCAAUGGGCGGGAGCCUGAACCAGCCAAGUCGCGUGAGGGAAGACGGUCCUAUGGAUUGUAAACCUCUUUAGGCGGGGAGCAAUGCCGGGCACGCGUGCCCGGAGGGAGAGUACCCGCAGAAUAAGCAUCGGCUAACUCCGUGCCAGCAGCCGCGGUAAUACGGAGGAUGCGAGCGUUAUCCGGAUUUAUUGGGUAUAAAGGGUGCGUAGGCGGAUUUUUAAGUCAGCGGUAAAAUGUCCGGGCUCAACCCGGGCCGGCCGUUGGAACUGGGGAGCUUGAGUGGGCGAGAAGUAUGCGGAAUGCGUGGUGUAGCGGUGAAAUGCAUAGAUAUCACGCAGAACUCCGAUUGCGAAGGCAGCAUACCGGAGCCCGACUGACGCUGAGGCACGAAAGCGUGGGGAUCGAACAGGAUUAGAUACCCGUGUAGUC